rnacentral:rRNA from 1 species
GAUGAACGCUGACAGAAUGCUUAACACAUGCAAGUCUACUUGAACUUCGGUUUGGGUGGCGGACGGGUGAGUAACGCGUACAGAACUUGCCUCACAGUUAGGGACAACAUUUGGAAACGAAUGCUAAUACCUGAUAUUAUGAUUUUAGGGCAUCCUAAAAUUAUGAAAGCUAUAUGCGCUGUGAGAGAGCUUUGCGUCCCAUUAGCUAGUUGGAGAGGUAACGGCUCACCAAGGCGAUGAUGGGUAGCCGGCCUGAGAGGGUGAACGGCCACAAGGGGACUGAGACACGGCCCUUACGCAUACGGGAGGCAACAGUGGGGAAUAUUGGACAAUGGACCAAAAGUCUGAUCCAGCAAUUCGGUGUGCACGAUGACGUUUUUCGGAAUGUAAAGUGCUUUCAGUUGGGAAGAAAAAAAUGACGGUACCAACAGAAGAAGUGACGGCUAAAUACGUG